GAGCUCAGCUGGAUAGAGUGUGGUGCCGAUAAUGGCAAGGUUGCAGGUUCGAUCCCCAUGUGCGACA